AUACAUACUGUGUCUCCUCCUCAUUCUCUAAACACCAAGAGACUCCUGUUGGUGCUUUAGCAUUGCUCCAAAUAGGCUGAAUGUCUCUUUGGUGAUACUAGUAACAGUCAUAGUACGAUGUUUUAUGUUUUACCAAGUACGACUACACCAAUUAUUUUGUUUUGUUCUAGAAGCAGCAUUGCCCUAGUCUUGGUUUCUAAGUACCAUUUAUCACAGAAUGGAACUGGAAGUUCUUGGGAAAAAAUGUAGCUGACCCCAAGUCUGGGAUAGGGAAAGUACAGAGUCCUUGGACAUCUUGUUAUGCCAGAAAGCAGGGAAGCACUGAAGAAUGAAAGGGAGUUUCAGAGGGACUUCCAGUGUCCAAAUUUGAGAUAAUUUGGCAUCAAAUAUAAUAAUUAUGGUAUUAGAGUAUGAGAAACUGAUAAAGGAAAAUCCUUGAGACAAUUGUGAUACAGAGGAAGAAGUGAGAAAGAGGCAAUAAGAUAGAACUAGAGACAGAGAUGGAAGACAGCAAGAGAGAGAGAGAGAUCUAUCCAACCCUAUAGCAGAGGAGUGACAAAAUUUUUCUAAAAAGAAUGCUAUGAGAGCAUAGAGGAGAAUGAUCUGCAUUCUAGGAUUCUAACUCCUGGUUCCUGUGACUACAUCCCAUGCUCUUCCCACUCUCCAACAUCGUUCCUGGACUUGAGGUUGGAGGGGUACUUCCUUACUUACCAAGCUCCUGAAGGUUUUUUCUCUCUCUGGAAAGUGAUAGAGAAGGACGACAUUUCAUGUUGACUCUACCAACCAUAACAAGGUGAGAAAAGGGAGCAUCUGCUCCCAUUUAAAGAAGACAAGGUUCUGCAUGUGUUGUUCAAUCUUGCCCAUGAUGAAAAGAUGGAUGGCAGUAAAUGGCCCUGAUCCCAACAAAUGGAAGUUAAACUCAGUCUCAGAGUCAGCUCCACAGGAAUCCAGCUUGUGACACAGACUAAAAAGAGGUUAACUAUAAGUAACAAUCAUGGAAACAAUUUGUUAUCUAUCUUAUCACACGGAGAGAAAGCCUCUUGAAGAUAUGAAGAGAACAGAGGGGAAUGGAGAAAGAACAAGAUGGGGAAGAAGAAAGGGAAGGAGAGUAGAAGGAGAAAACGGGAAAAGAGAAAUCAGAGAGAACAAGUGAAAGAAAGAGCAAGAACAAAGUUGAGCUAAAGAUCAUAAUGGCUCCUCAACUCCUUCAUCAAUUGUUUAUAUUUGAGAAGGUGAAUGGAUCACUUUCCCAGUUUCCAAAUCAUCUGAAAAGCACAGAACAUGACGUCACUACGGUAUCCAAGCUCCUUCGUUAAAGCCACCAGCCUGCGACGCGCCUCGCUGCAAGACUCCUGAGGAAGCUUUGGGACAUCAGGACAAACCUGGCCUUGAAUGCUAACCUUGCUGAGCAAUCUGCGCACUCACCAUUAGGGCUGCAUCAUGGGUGCCCACAAAACUUGGCCUCGUUUGAAAAGAAAAAUAGCUCAGCCAACCUUUGUGGUGAAGAUUUUGAAAGCUUAACAGAGUUCAAUUAAGACAGGAAAAGAGAAUUGCCUUAAUAAAUACAAUUAAAAAUAAUCUUCGCUUUUGAUUUUCCUCAAAAGAGCUCACUUUUCUCAAAUGAGGGAAACACAUUUGGUUUAGUAUAAGAGAGAUGAAUCGUAAUAAAGAGAACCUAAAAGGCUUUGUAUCAAGACAGAUUACUUCAAGAGCAAUAUUUAGGUGAUGGGUUAAGAGAACAGCUGGCACAAUUAAGGCUUGAGUGUGCACCCUGUGGUUGGGAGAAAAUGAAGAGCAUUUAAUCAUAUGGACACCGUGUAUUUUUCAAGAAAUAAAACCUCCAAUGUUGCUUUUCCCAGACCAAGGUUAGUGAAAAGCUCUGAGACUGUUUUUA